rnacentral:rRNA from 1 species
UUUUAUGAGAGUUUGAUCCUGGCUCAGGACGAACGCUGGCGGCGUGCCUAAUACAUGCAAGUCGAACGCUUCUUUUUCCACCGGAGCUUGCUCCACCGGAAAAAGAGGAGUGGCGAACGGGUGAGUAACACGUGGGUAACCUGCCCAUCAGAAGGGGAUAACACUUGGAAACAGGUGCUAAUACCGUAUAACAAUCGAAACCGCAUGGUUUUGAUUUGAAAGGCGC